rnacentral:tRNA from 1 species
GCUUCGGUGGUGUAGUCCGGCCAAUCAUUCGGCCCUCUCGAGGCCGAGACACGGGUUCGAAUCCCGUCCGAGGCA